AACAUACCUGCAGCAGUGGUGAUACAAGCAGGAGAACUACAUGUCCCAGAUGACGAAUCUGCAGAUUUCGUUUUCUCCACAACGUACAGCGCAAUGAAGGAUACAGACAGAAUAAGCAGCAGUAGAAACAAUACGAAGAAAACCAAGAGCACUUUGGAUGGCUUCCGAAUUUCAAUCUCUCCUAGCCGGCCAAAAGGAAAGCUCGCCAUAUCAGUUAUUUCUUAGGACACGCUGAAGUUCUCAAAUAUAUCUAUGAACAUGUGCAUGUGAG